rnacentral:rRNA from 1 species
GGGUUGUGAGGUUAAGCGACUAAGCGUACACGGUGGAUGCCCUGGCAGUCAGAGGCGAUGAAGGACGUGCUAAUCUGCGAUAAGCGUCGGUAAGGUGAUAUGAACCGUUAUAACCGGCGAUUUCCGAAUGGGGAAACCCAGUGUGAUUCGUCACACUAUCAUUAACUGAAUCCAUAGGUUAAUGAGGCGAACCGGGGGAACUGAAACAUCUAAGUACCCCGAGGAAAAGAAAUCAACCGAGAUUCCCCCAGUAGCGGCGAGCGAACGGGGAGCAGCCCAGAGCCUGAAUCAGUGUGUGUGUUAGUGGAAGCGUCUGGAAAGGCGCGCGAUACAGGGUGACAGCCCCGUACACAAAAAUGCACAUGCUGUGAGCUCGAUGAGUAGGGCGGGACACGUGGUAUCCUGUCUGAAUAUGGGGGGACCAUCCUCCAAGGCUAAAUACUCCUGACUGACCGAUAGUGAACCAGUACCGUGAGGGAAAGGCGAAAAGAACCCCGGCGAGGGGAGUGAAAAAGAACCUGAAACCGUGUACGUACAAGCAGUGGGAGCACGCUUAGGCGUGUGACUGCGUACCUUUUGUAUAAUGGGUCAGCGACUUAUAUUCUGUAGCAAGGUUAACCGAAUAGGGGAGCCGAAGGGAAACCGAGUCUUAACUGGGCGUUAAGUUGCAGGGUAUAGACCCGAAACCCGGUGAUCUAGCCAUGGGCAGGUUGAAGGUUGGGUAACACUAACUGGAGGACCGAACCGACUAAUGUUGAAAAAUUAGCGGAUGACUUGUGGCUGGGGGUGAAAGGCCAAUCAAACCGGGAGAUAGCUGGUUCUCCCCGAAAGCUAUUUAGGUAGCGCCUCGUGAAUUCAUCUCCGGGGGUAGAGCACUGUUUCGGCAAGGGGGUCAUCCCGACUUACCAACCCGAUGCAAACUGCGAAUACCGGAGAAUGUUAUCACGGGAGACACACGGCGGGUGCUAACGUCCGUCGUGAAGAGGGAAACAACCCAGACCGCCAGCUAAGGUCCCAAAGUCAUGGUUAAGUGGGAAACGAUGUGGGAAGGCCCAGACAGCCAGGAUGUUGGCUUAGAAGCAGCCAUCAUUUAAAGAAAGCGUAAUAGCUCACUGGUCGAGUCGGCCUGCGCGGAAGAUGUAACGGGGCUAAACCAUGCACCGAAGCUGCGGCAGCGACACUGUGUGUUGUUGGGUAGGGGAGCGUUCUGUAAGCCUGCGAAGGUGUGCUGUGAGGCAUGCUGGAGGUAUCAGAAGUGCGAAUGCUGACAUAAGUAACGAUAAAGCGGGUGAAAAGCCCGCUCGCCGGAAGACCAAGGGUUCCUGUCCAACGUUAAUCGGGGCAGGGUGAGUCGACCCCUAAGGCGAGGCCGAAAGGCGUAGUCGAUGGGAAACAGGUUAAUAUUCCUGUACUUGGUGUUACUGCGAAGGGGGGACGGAGAAGGCUAUGUUGGCCGGGCGACGGUUGUCCCGGUUUAAGCGUGUAGGCUGGUUUUCCAGGCAAAUCCGGAAAAUCAAGGCUGAGGCGUGAUGACGAGGCACUACGGUGCUGAAGCAACAAAUGCCCUGCUUCCAGGAAAAGCCUCUAAGCAUCAGGUAACAUCAAAUCGUACCCCAAACCGACACAGGUGGUCAGGUAGAGAAUACCAAGGCGCUUGAGAGAACUCGGGUGAAGGAACUAGGCAAAAUGGUGCCGUAACUUCGGGAGAAGGCACGCUGAUACGUAGGUGAAGUCCCUCGCGGAUGGAGCUGAAAUCAGUCGAAGAUACCAGCUGGCUGCAACUGUUUAUUAAAAACACAGCACUGUGCAAACACGAAAGUGGACGUAUACGGUGUGACGCCUGCCCGGUGCCGGAAGGUUAAUUGAUGGGGUCAGCGCAAGCGAAGCUCUUGAUCGAAGCCCCGGUAAACGGCGGCCGUAACUAUAACGGUCCUAAGGUAGCGAAAUUCCUUGUCGGGUAAGUUCCGACCUGCACGAAUGGCGUAAUGAUGGCCAGGCUGUCUCCACCCGAGACUCAGUGAAAUUGAACUCGCUGUGAAGAUGCAGUGUACCCGCGGCAAGACGGAAAGACCCCGUGAACCUUUACUAUAGCUUGACACUGAACAUUGAGCCUUGAUGUGUAGGAUAGGUGGGAGGCUUUGAAGUGUGGACGCCAGUCUGCAUGGAGCCGACCUUGAAAUACCACCCUUUAAUGUUUGAUGUUCUAACGUUGACCCGUAAUCCGGGUUGCGGACAGUGUCUGGUGGGUAGUUUGACUGGGGCGGUCUCCUCCUAAAGAGUAACGGAGGAGCACGAAGGUUGGCUAAUCCUGGUCGGACAUCAGGAGGUUAGUGCAAUGGCAUAAGCCAGCUUGACUGCGAGCGUGACGGCGCGAGCAGGUGCGAAAGCAGGUCAUAGUGAUCCGGUGGUUCUGAAUGGAAGGGCCAUCGCUCAACGGAUAAAAGGUACUCCGGGGAUAACAGGCUGAUACCGCCCAAGAGUUCAUAUCGACGGCGGUGUUUGGCACCUCGAUGUCGGCUCAUCACAUCCUGGGGCUGAAGUAGGUCCCAAGGGUAUGGCUGUUCGCCAUUUAAAGUGGUACGCGAGCUGGGUUUAGAACGUCGUGAGACAGUUCGGUCCCUAUCUGCCGUGGGCGCUGGAGAACUGAGGGGGGCUGCUCCUAGUACGAGAGGACCGGAGUGGACGCAUCACUGGUGUUCGGGUUGUCAUGCCAAUGGCACUGCCCGGUAGCUAAAUGCGGAAGAGAUAAGUGCUGAAAGCAUCUAAGCACGAAACUUGCCCCGAGAUGAGUUCUCCCUGACUCCUUGAGAGUCCUGAAGGAACGUUGAAGACGACGACGUUGAUAGGCCGGGUGUGUAAGCGCAGCGAUGCGUUGAGCUAACCGGUACUAAUGAACCGUGAGGCUUAACCUUACAACGCCGAAG